AUGUUUUAUGUAAGUCAUAGUGAACUCUUCACACGAUCAGUGAACAGCAGACAGCUGAUCUGUGUUUAUUCACUCAAGACUGAACCUGAGAUCAGAUCACCACACAGUGACACAUACACCUUCAGAGACACAGUCACCAUCAGAGAUCUUCCUCAGGCCAAGUUGAGAGCGUCUGCUUCAGUUAUUCUGGAAACAGACACAGUUGAGCUGAGCUGUGAGAAUACUGAAGAUCUGAAGAUGGAGAAGUGUUUCUUCAACAUAAAUGGAAGAGAAAGUAACUCAAAACAGAGCUCAUCAUGUCAGCUCUCACUCACUGGAUCUCAGAUCAGUGUUUGGUCUGGAGGUCAGAGUUCAUCUGUGAGAAUAAGCUGCUUCUACACUGUGAAUUUGUCACAAGUUCAAAAACCAUCUGCUCACUCUGAUCCAGUGACAGUAACAGUCAACAUUUCAACAUCAAUAUCCCCUCAAAAAACUUCACAACUGGACUCUGUCAUUUCCACGUCUGAAACCCCAGUGUACCGCACAACAGAUCUAUGGUUUAUAGUGCUGGUUUUUACUUGUGUUGCUGUCAUUUUGUCCGGACUCAUGGGACUCAGCUGUCUCUGCGUGUUUGCAGGUAUUUCAAUGUCAAUUUAUUUAUAA
ensembl:lncRNA